rnacentral:rRNA from 1 species
CGGCAAACGGGUGCGGAACACGUACAGAACCUUCCUUUAAGCGGGGGAUAGCCCGGAGAAAUCCGGAUUAAUACCCCAUAGUAUUAUUGAUUGGCAUCAAUUGAUAAUUAAAGAUUUAUCACUUAGAGAUGGCUGUGCGGCUGAUUAGGUAGUUGGUGUGGGUAACGGCCCACCAAGCCUUCGAUCAGUAACUGGUGUGAGAGCACGACCAGUCACACGGGCACUGAGACACGGGCCCGACUCCUACGGGAGGCAGCAGUAAGGAAUAUUGGUCAAUGGAGGCAACUCUGAACCAGCCAUGCCGCGUGAAGGAUGAAGGCCCUCUGGGUUGUAAACUUCCUUUAUGUGGGAAGAAAUGUAUUCUUUAUAGAGUACUUGACGGUACCAUAGGAAUAAGCACCGGCUAACUCCGUGCCAGCAGCCGCGGUAAUACGGAGGGUGCAAGCGUUAUCCGGAUUCACUGGGUUUAAAGGGUGCGUAGGUGGGAAUGUAAGUCAGUGGUGAAAUCUCCGUGCUUAACACGGAAACUGCCAUUGAUACUAUGUUUCUUGAAUUUUCCGGAGGUCAGCGGAAUAUGUCAUGUAGCGGUGAAAUGCUUAGAUAUGACAUAGAACACCAAUUGCGAAGGCAGCUGGCUACAGGGAUAUUGACACUGAGGCACGAAAGCGUGGGGAUCAAACAGGAUUAGAUACCCUGGUAGUCCACGCCCUAAACGAUGGAUACUCGACAUUUGUGAUAGACAAUAAGUGUC